GUUAAAGUUGUUCUCCAGAACGGUCCAAACAGCGUUUCCAUUAAAGGAAAAAGGGCAAAUUAUGGAGAUAAGAUAAGGGAAAAAAAAAAAUCAGUGAAAGCUGAACACUUGAAGCUCGUUUGAUAAUCAAUGGGGGAAGAACCAACCAAGAGGUAUGCAGUAGUUACCGGUGCAAAUAAGGGAAUUGGAUUUGAAAUUUGUAGGCAGUUGGCUUCAAAUGGGAUUGUUGUAGUAUUAACGGCCAGAGAUGAGAAAAGAGGGCUUGAAGCUCUUCAAAAACUCCAAGACUCUGGUCUAUCUGAUUAUGUAUUGUUUCAUCAACUUGAUGUGGCAGACACUGCCAGUAUUGCUGCUCUUGCUGAUUUCAUCAAAACCCAAUUCGGAAAGCUUGACAUCUUGGUGAAUAAUGCAGGUGUCGGUGGAGUUAUACUUGAUGGUGAUGCUUUAAGAGCUUCUGAUUUUGGCAAGGAAGGUGUAAAUGUGUUUUCUUUGGAUUGGGAUAAAAUAAUAGCAAGUCAAACAAGUGAGUUGGCUGAAGAAUGCAUUGCAAUAAAUUAUUACGGUGCCAAAAGAACAGCUGAGGCACUUAUUCCCCUGCUCCAGUUGUCUGAUUCGCCAAGGAUUGUUAAUGUUUCCUCCAUGGGAGGGGCAUUGAAGAAUAUACAAAAUGAAUGGGCUAAAGAAGUGUUAGGUGAUGCUGAUAAUCUCUCGGAGGAGAGAAUUGAUGAGGUGUUGAACAAGUAUCUAAACGAUUUUAAAGAAAGCUCGCCGGAAACAAAAGGAUGGCCUGAAUUUUUUUCUGCUUAUGAGCUCUCAAAAGCAGCUCUGAAUGCCUACACGAGGAUCCUAGCCAAGAAGUUGCCAUCUUUUCGCAUCAAUUCUGUCUGCCCUGGCUUAGUCAAGACAGACCUAAUAUUCAACAUGGGAAAAUUGUCUCCAGCAGAAGGGGCUGAAAGUGCAGUGAGGUUAGCAUUAUUACCUAACGAUGGUCCUUCUGGUUGUCUCUUUGAUCGUAAGGACGAAUCACCUUUUUGAUUGAACAUUCCACAAGCUUCUAUGCUUUGGCAAUAACUGUGUCAGGAUUUAAUAUAAAUAUUCCACUUUGUUUUUUUUUUUUUUUUUUACGUAGAAUAAGGUUUCGUAGGGACUAGACAAGUGAAGCGUGGCUGAUUAGCGAGCUUAGGCCUAUUACUCCCUACCUUAAACCUAGUUUUUUUUUUUUCUGUGGUUUUUGGCUUAGGCAAAAUAAGUGGUCCCCUCAUUCUCAUAAUAUUAACGUUUGAUGGGUAAGAAUAUUCCAUUAGAUCUAAUUUCGCUAUGUAUUACUGUUGGUUGGAUCCCAAUCACAAAGUCUAAAGUGGUGAACUACUUGUAACUUUCGUGCAA